rnacentral:misc_RNA from 1 species
AAGUCGUAACAAGGUUUCCGUAGGUGAACCUGCGGAAGGAUCAUUAGAAAUAAUUGAUGGAAUAAAGUUGGCAGCAAUGCUAUACUGUAUCUCCUAUCUUCUUACCUUUGUGAACUGGAUGUCUUGAUAGACGCUUGCAUGUUCCUCAUGCCUUGUGUAUGGGGAGCAGCAAGUUGUCGGUCACCCUUUAUAAACCUUUUGAUAAUUGAUUUUGGUUAAAUUUAUUCGAGUGGACUUUGAGCAAUGAAAGGUAACUUUUACUGCUGGAAGUCUUUAACACUUAACUUAAAACAACCUUUAACAAUGGAUCUCUUGGCUCCU